AUGCGAUAAGUAAUGUGAAUUGCAGAAUUCAAUGAAUCAUCGAAUCUUUGAACGCACAUUGCGCCCGCCGGCAUUCCGGCGGGCAUGCCCGUUCGAGCGUCAUUUCAACUACCCUUUCCCGGUGGAGGGAGGCAACUGGCAAACUCUUUUAACGAAGGGUCUUCUUUUAAUGUUGUUUCCUUCUCCCCCGGGGCGUUGGCGCCGGGCGCCUCCCUAGGUAGGCGGCCGGAGCCCAAAUGCAGCGGCGGACGCGCAGCGGCCCCUAGCGCAGUAGAUAUCACGUCCUCGCUCCAGGGUGCUCGCUGCGGCGGACCACAGCCCCCCCCCGCGCAGAAGCUCCAGCGCUUGCAGGCAGAACAGAAAACUUGACCUCGGAUCGGGUAGGACUACCCGCUGAACUUAA
rnacentral:misc_RNA from 1 species